UCCGACUCUGUGAGACCCCAGAGAUGGCAGCCCACCAGGCUCCGCCGUCCCUGGGAUUCUCCAGGCAAGAUAGACUCAGCUAAUACCAUGGGCUGAGGGGACGCAGGUUCAAUCCCUGGUCCGGGAGGAUUCCACGUGCCGUGGAGCACCUAAGCCCGUGAGCCACAGCUACUGAGCCCGUCCAGCGGCAGCUACUGAAGACCAUGCACCUGGACCCUGUGCUCCACACGAGGAGAAGCCGCUGCAAGGGGAAGCCUGCAGACCACAGUGGAGAGUGGCCGCUAGAGAACUAGGGAGAAGCCCAUGAGCAGCAAUGAAGACCCAGCACAACCAAAAAUAAAAUAAAUUUAAUUUAAAAUAU